AUUGAACGCUGGCGGCAGGCCUAACACAUGCAAGUCGAACGAGUGGCGGACGGGUGAGUAAUGUCUGGGAAACUGCCCGAUGGAGGGGGAUAACUACUGGAAACGGUAGCUAAUACCGCAUACCAUCGGAUGUGCCCCGAUGGGAUUAGCUUGUAGGUGAGGUAACGGCCUACCAAGGCGACGAUCCGUAACUGGUCUGAGAGGAUGAUCAGUCACACUGGAACUGAGACACGGUCCAGACUCCUACGGGAGGCAGCAGUGGGGAAGAUUGCACAAUGGGCGCAAGCCUGAUGCAGCCAUGCCGCGUGUAUGAAGAAGGCCUUCGGGUUGUAAAGGACUUUCAGCGGGGAGGCGUGACCCGCAGAAGAAGCACCGGCUAACUCCGAGCCAGCCGCCGCGGUAAUAC
rnacentral:rRNA from 1 species